GUGAGUCAUCGAAUCUUUGAACGCACAUUGCGCCCAUUGGUAUUCCGAGGGGCACGCCUGUUCGAGCGUCAUUUAAACCAUCAAGCCCAGCUUGGUCUUGGACGCGGUCGAGUGACCCGUCCGCAACCCGUUGGCGGUGCAGUCCGGCCUCAAGCGUAGCAAGAAUCUCGCUUCAGGAGUCCGCGGCGGUGCCCGCCAGGUAAUCACAUCCCAAAGUUUGACCUCGGAUCAGGUGAGGAUACCCGCUGAACUUAAGCAUAUCAAUAAGCGGAGGA
rnacentral:misc_RNA from 1 species